CUUGUCCUUCUCGUGGGAGCUGAGGUCCAGCAGCACGUGCAGGUACUGGAACUGCCGCGACGGCCGCUUGAAGAUCAGGUCCCGCAAGGUGGACAUGCCCAGGUAGGUGCGGCUCUGGGGGGGAGGGGACAGCGGGGUCACCUCCAGGGGACACCUGGAGGGGUCACCUGGAGGGGUCACCUGGAGGGGUCACCUGGAGGGGUCAGCUCCAGGGGUCACCUGGAGAGGUCACCUGGAGGGGUCAGCUCCAGGGGUCACCUUCUCAUGUCACCUCCUCACAUCACCUGGAGAGGUCACCUGGAGAGGUCACCUCCCUGUGUCACCUCCUUGUGUCAUCUCCCUUGUGUCACCUCCCUUUGUCACCUCCAGGGGACACCUGGAGAGGUCACCUGGAGAGGUCACCUCCUUGUGUCACCUCCAUGUGUCUCUUUAUGUCACCUCCCUAUGUCACCUCUCCGUGUCACCUCCCCGUGUCACCUCCCCGUGUCACCUCCUCAUGUCACCUCCAGGUGUCACCUCCAUGUGUCUCUUUAUGUCACCUCCCCACGUCACCUCCCCAUGUCACCUCCUCAUGUCACCUCCAUGUAUCACCUCCUCGUGUCACCUCCCCGUGCCAUCUCCAGGUGUCACCUCCCUAUGCCACCUCCAUGUGUCUCUUUAUGUCACCUCCCCAUGUCACCUCCAUGUGUCACCUCCAGGUAUCACCUCCCCGUGCCAUCUCCAGGUGUCACCUCCCCAUGUCACCUCCAGGUGUCACCUCCCCAUGUCACCUCCAUGUGUCACCUCCAGGUAUCACCUCCCCAUGUCACCUCCAGGUGUCACCUCCCCGUGUCACCUCCAUGUGUCUCUUUGUGUCACCUCCCCAUGCCAUCUCCAGGUGUCACCUCCAUGUGUCUCUUUGUGUCACCUCCACAUGUCACCUCCCUGUGUCACCUCCAUGUGUCACCUCCAUGUGUCACCUCCCCGUGUCACCUCCAGGUGUCAUCUCCAGGUGUCACCUCCCCGUGUCACCUCCAUGUGUCACCUCCCCGUGCCAUCUCCAGGUGUCACCUCCAGGUGUCACCUCCCCAUGCCAUCUCCAGGUGUCACCUCCCCGUGUCACCUCCAGGUGUCAUCUCCAGGUGUCACCUCCCCGUGUCACCUCCAGGUGUCCCCUCCCCACCCGUGUCCCCUG
rnacentral:lncRNA from 1 species